UAUAGGCCUUACACCCGUAUUCACAAACGAUACUUACCUAUGCAAAGCAGCAACGCUAUGCGAAAUGAGACAUUUCUCAAUGCGUUCCAUAUGACAAGCCUUUCAAUUCAUAAACAAUACUUAAACGACCCUUGACUAUGCAAAAUCAGAGUGUUACAUAGAGUUCUGUGAUUGGUUCGCUUAUGUUACGCACUUCACUUCGCUAACUGACAUGACAUUCCUGUCAUUCAAACGGUGCAACGGUUUUUAUGUGUCGUUAUAUUGUGGAUUUGUGAAUUAAAUAAAUAUGGAUAAAACUACAACUAUCGGGUUAGUAUGAAUACUUCGAUUAAUAAUAAUAGUGAAAAUCAUGUUUCAAUCAUUAUUUUUCAGAUAAAAAAGCUGCCGUUUUCUUCUUCCGAAUGAGAGCUGCUGAUUGUAGCUUAAUAAGAGAAAGGCCUAUUAUUGAAGACAAGCAUAUUAUUAUCCUCUCUAAAAUAUCGAGUUGACGAAGCAGGCCUGGGAAACUCUAACAGUGGCGUACAAUUCUGAACCAUAUUUUAUGUUUCACAAAGGCUCACACAUCAACUGAAAAGCUGCUGGAAUAAUUUAAAGACCCAAAGAAUGAAAGAACUUUCUCAGGAAUCAAUCAAACGUUCUCAACACGCACUAGUAUCAAGAAAUUAAGAUUAGUAGUAGCAAGAAUGAAGAUUAAGACAGAAACAAGAAUCAAACGCACCACAUUGAAUAAUAUACAACAAGACCAGGCUUUGCACGAGUUGGGGCUACAAAGAGAAAAAAUAUUGAUAGAAAGAGAAAAUAAUUUGUUAGAACAUGAAAAAAAGAUUUAUGAUUUACAAAUACAUAAAAUUAAAUUAGACAUUGAAGAUUGAUGAAAAUAAAACUUCAUUAAAAA